rnacentral:lncRNA from 1 species
AAAUGCAGUCGGAUGUUUGGGGUACUAUAAGUGAUCAAGGGGUGGUAACUCAUAUCACAGGAGGAAACUUUGCACAAAGUUCCAUUACUAUUAAUGGGUGGCUCCGAGAUUUCUUAUGGGCACAGGCAUCUCAGGUUAUUCAGUCUUAUGGUUCUUCAUUAUCUGCAUAUGGUCUUUUUUUCUUAGGUGCUCAUUUUGUCUGGGCUUUCAGUUUAAUGUUUCUAUUCAGUGGCCGUGGUUAUUGGCAAGAACUCAUUGAAUCCAUCGUUUGGGCUCAUAACAAAUUAAAAGUUGCUCCUGCUACUCAGCCUAGAGCCUUGAGCAUUGUACAAGGACGUGCUGUAGGAGUAACCCAUUACCUUCUGGGCGGAAUUGCCACUACAUGGGCGUUCUUCUUAGCAAGAAUUAUUGCAGUAGGAUAAUGGCUAGGAGGAUUUGAAAGGCAUUAUGGAAUUAAGAUUUCCGAGGUUUAGCCAAGGCUUAGCUCAGGACCCCACUACUCGUCGUAUUUGGUUUGGUAUUGCUACCGCACAUGACUUCGAGAGUCAUGAUGAUAUUACUGAGGAACGUCUUUAUCAGAACAUUUUUGCUUCUCACUUUGGACAGUUAGCAAUAAUCUUUCUGUGGACGUCAGGAAAUCUGUUUCAUGUGGCUUGGCAAGGAAAUUUUGAGUCAUGGAUACAGGACCCUUUACAUGUAAGACCAAUUGCUCAUGCAAUUUGGGAUCCUCAUUUUGGUCAACCAGCUGUAGAAGCCUUUACUCGAGGAGGUGCUACCGGCCCAGUGAAUAUCGCUUAUUCCGGUGUUUAUCAGUGGUGGUAUACAAUCGGAUUACGCACCAAUGAAGAUCUUUAUACAGGAGCUCUUUUUCUAUUAUUUAUUUCUGCUAUAUCUUUAAUAGCGGGUUGGUUACACCUACAACCCAAAUGGAAACCAAGCGUUUCGUGGUUCAAAAAUGCUGAAUCUCGUCUCAAUCAUCAUUUGUCAGGACUUUUCGGAGUAAGUUCCUUGGCUUGGACAGGACAUUUAGUUCAUGUCGCUAUUCCCGGAUCCAGGGGAGAGUACGUCAGAUGGAAUAAUUUCUUAGACGUAUUACCCUAUCCCCAAGGGUUGGGACCCCUUCUUACGGGUCAGUGGAAUCUUUAUGCCCAAAACCCUGAUUCGAGUAGUCAUUUAUUUGGGACCUCCCAAGGGGCGGGAACUGCCAUUCUAACCCUUCUUGGGGGAUUCCAUCCACAAACGCAAAGUUUAUGGCUGACCGAUAUUGCUCAUCAUCAUUUAGCUAUUGCAUUUAUUUUUCUCAUUGCUGGUCAUAUGUAUAGAACUAACUUCGGGAUUGGGCACAGUAUCAAAGAUCUUUUAGAAACACAUAUUCCUCCGGGGGGUCGAUUAGGACGUGGGCAUAAGGGUCUUUAUGACACAAUCAAUAAUUCGAUUCAUUUUCAAUUAGGUCUUGCUCUAGCCUCUUUAGGGGUUAUUACUUCCUUAGUAGCUCAACAUAUGUACUCCUUACCUGCUUAUGCAUUCAUAGCACAAGACUUUACUACUCAAGCUGCCUUAUAUACUCAUCACCAAUACAUUGCAGGGUUCAUCAUGACAGGAGCCUUUGCUCAUGGAGCUAUAUUUUUCAUUAGAGAUUACAAUCCGGAGCAGAAUGAGGAUAACGUAUUGGCAAGAAUGUUAGACCAUAAAGAAGCUAUCAUAUCUCAUUUAAGUUGGGCCAGCCUGUUUCUGGGGUUCCAUACCUUGGGCCUUUAUGUUCAUAACGACGUCAUGCUCGCUUUUGGUACUCCGGAAAAACAAAUCUUGAUCGAACCUAUAUUUGCCCAAUGGAUACAAUCUGCUCAUGGUAAGACUUCAUAUGGGUUCGAUGUACUCUUAUCUUCAACGAAUGGCCCAGCCUUCAAUGCAGGUCGAAGCAUAUGGUUACCGGGAUGGUUGAAUGCUGUUAAUGAGAAUAGUAAUUCACUUUUCUUAACAAUAGGCCCUGGCGAUUUCUUGGUUCAUCAUGCUAUUGCUCUAGGUUUGCAUACAACUACAUUGAUUUUAGUAAAAGGUGCUUUAGAUGCACGUGGUUCCAAAUUAAUGCCGGAUAAAAAGGAUUUCGGUUAUAGUUUUCCUUGUGACGGCCCAGGACGCGGCGGUACUUGUGAUAUUUCUGCUUGGGACGCAUUUUAUUUGGCAGUUUUCUGGAUGUUAAAUACCAUUGGAUGGGUUACUUUUUAUUGGCAUUGGAAACACAUCACAUUAUGGCAGGGUAAUGUUUCACAAUUUAAUGAAUCCUCCACUUAUUUGAUGGGAUGGUUAAGAGAUUAUCUAUGGUUAAACUCUUCACAACUUAUCAAUGGAUAUAAUCCUUUUGGUAUGAAUAGUUUAUCGGUAUGGGCGUGGAUGUUCUUAUUUGGACAUCUUGUUUGGGCUAUUGGAUUUAUGUUCUUAAUUUCAUGGCGUGGAUAUUGGCAAGAAUUGAUUGAAACUUUAGCAUGGGCUCAUGAACGCACACCUUUGGCUAAUUUGAUUCGAUGGAGAGAUAAGCCGGUGGCUCUUUCCAUUGUACAAGCAAGAUUGGUUGGAUUAGCCCACUUUUCCGUGGGUUAUAUAUUCACUUAUGCAGCUUUCUUGAUUGCCUCCACAUCAGGAAAAUUUGGUUAAUUUAGUUAUUUAUUGUUUUUUUAUGUACUGUAUCAGCAACAAUUUCAUUUGUUUCGAUGGAGGGGGAGGAUACGCCUUCUUAUAUUUUUACAUCUAGGAUCCGAACUGUAUCAUUGAUAAUAAUAGGAACUGAACAUUAUGGCAAGAAAAAGUUUGAUUCAGAGGGAGAACAAGCGGAAAAAUUUGGAACAGAAAUAUCAUUUGAUUCGCCGAUCCUCAAAAGAAAAAAUAAGCAAAGUUUCAUCGUUGAGUGAAAAAUGGGAAAUUCAUGGAAAAUUGCAAUCCCCACCACGUAAUAGUGCACCUAUACGUCUUCAUCGACGUUGUUUUUUGACUGGAAGACCUAGAGCUAACUAUCGAGACUUUGGCCUAUCCGGACACAUACUUCGAGAAAUGGUUUAUGCAUGUUUGUUACCGGGCGCAACAAGAUCAAGUUGGUAAGGAUAAAAAUAUCGUUUCAUAUUUGUAUAGAUCUCUAUGAUCUAUGAUCAUAGAAGGGCCCUCUUUACCAUUCUGUAUAAAUGGACUAUUCUAUUUGUAUAGAUAUGGUAGAGGGGCGUAUCCAAUCUUUCUUCGCCCAUUAGUUCCUAGUUCUUUAGCGCGGAGUAGAGCAGUUUGGUAGCUCGCAAGGCUCAUAACCUUGAGGUCACGGGUUCAAAUCCUGUCUCCGCAACAUUUUUGUUUUUGGAUGGUAGGCAAGGAAAGGGGGAAGAUAGAACUACUAUACUAACCACUAUAGUAGUUAGUAGUUAGUAUAGUAGUCAAUUAAUUUUUUAUCUUUUUAUCAUAGUACAUUACUUAAUUAUGAUUAUGGGCGGAUAGCGGGAAUCGAACCCGCAUCUUCUCCUUGGCAAAGAGAAAUUUUACCAUUCGACCAUAUCCGCAUUUUCUUCCUCCCUGAUACGCACGUAUAUGUCCACACAUAUAUGACAUAUAUUAUAUAUCAUAUAUGCGGCUGGAUCAUAUUUGUGCAGGGCCAGAUACUUAGAUAGUAUAGUAAAAAGUAAAACUUAGAUAGUAUACUUCAGAUACUAUAGUAAAGUAAGAUUCCAAUUAAGAUAGAUUAAGAUAAUCUUAUUUAUUAGAUCCAAUUAAUAACAUUGAAAUAGAAUUUUUUUUUCAGAACUCAGAUUGAAUCUUAAUAUGUCUCACAAUUCGAAUUUAUUUGAAGGAGUGACAUUUUUGUUUUUGGAUCGGGGAAAUACCAAAUAAGUUUAAGAAAUGAGAGAAUUAAGAAUAGCUACCAAAAAGACUAAUCCAAUCCAUAAUGAUGUACCGGAAAAUACAACAUUCUUGUUACUUGACCAACCAUCAGAAGAAGCAAAUACAACGGGUACACUAAUCAGUAAGACUGAUGAAGUCGCAAUUAAUGCAAAAACAGCUAAUUGGAAAGCAAUAGUCAUGUUUCUAAUCCUCCAAGCUACCAACAAAUGAACUAUACAUUUGAUCCCGCACUUAGUCAAAAUUGUAAUAAAAUCCAUCAUGGAGGGAUUUUAUCAUGAAUCAAUUGAUUCUUUUCUUUAGAACUUAUUACCACUUUAUUUUAUUCGGACAUGAACUCGGGGGGAGUUUAGUCUUUAUUUCACAAGCAGACAUACUAGAUCAUGUAUCUAUGUAUACAGUAUACAUAGAUACAUCGAAAUAUGGAUUCGCAUCUGGGAUGUUUCUACAGAUAGUUAGUGUAUCAUAUGGUCAUGUUCUAUUCGUAGGAAUAAAAUAGAGAUUACCCCUGGGAGAGAUGGCCGAGUGGUUGAUAGCUCCGGUCUUGAAAACCGGUAUAGUUCUAAACAAAGAACUAUCGAGGGUUCGAAUCCCUCUCUCUCCUUUUGUUUAUUGAAUAAAUUUUUUUCUUUAUUUGUUUGGCCCGGCCCCUUAUCUUUCAUAAAAAGGAAUGGCUCGGCUAGGUGGAAUAGCCGAGCCAGAACAGAAAAGAACAAUAGAAUAGAUAUAAAUAAGAAAAUCUCAGUUAAGAGGGGUCAUGGAAAGAACAGGUUCCAAAUCACGAUCGAUUCCUUUUUCAAACCCUGCAGCAGCUGCGCGGGCCCUUCCCGCAUGCCACAAAUGCCCCACAAAAAAGAAGAAUCCUAGAACAAAAUGAGAGGUAGCUAACCAACUUCUAGGAGAGACAUAAUUGACUGCAUUGAUCUCGGUAGCUACGCCACCCACGGAAUUUAAAGAACCUAAAGGAGCAUGAGUCAUAUAUUCUGCUGAACGUCGUUCUUGCCAAGGUUGUAUGUCUUUUUUCAGCCUACUCAGGUCCAAACCAUUGGGACCCCUUAGAGGUUCUAACCAGGGAGCACGAAGAUCCCAAAAACGCAUAGUUUCUCCUCCAAAAAUAACCUCUCCAG